rnacentral:rRNA from 1 species
UACGUAGGUGGCAAGCGUUAUCCGGAAUUAUUGGGCGUAAAGAGGGAGCAGGCGGCAGCAAGGGUCUGUGGUGAAAGCCUGAAGCUUAACUUCAGUAAGCCAUAGAAACCAGGCAGCUAGAGUGCAGGAGAGGAUCGUGGAAUUCCAUGUGUAGCGGUGAAAUGCGUAGAUAUAUGGAGGAACACCAGUGGCGAAGGCGACGAUCUGGCCUGCAACUGACGCUCAGUCCCGAAAGCGUGGGGAGCAAACAGG